UACGUAGGGGGCAAGCGUUGUCCGGAAUCAUUGGGCGUAAAGCGCGCGUAGGCGGCCCGGUAAGUCCGUUGUGAAAGUCAAAGGCUCAACCUUUGAACGCCGAUGGAUACUGCCGGGCUAGAGUCCGGAAGAGGCGAGUGGAAUUCCUGGUGUAGCGGUGAAAUGCGCAGAUAUCAGGAGGAACACCAAUGGCGAAGGCAGCUCGCUGGGACGGUACUGACGCUGAGGCGCGAAAGCGUGGGGAGCAAACAGG
rnacentral:rRNA from 1 species